rnacentral:lncRNA from 13 species
UCGCUAGCUGCACGGCAAUAAGACGAUGAUAAUGACGUCGUUUCAACGAAAGCCGGACGAACAUUGAUUGCGUGCAUUCGAAGCGAGAUUGAAAAUGAAUACACGUUUAAGCGCAUUUGCCCACGUCUCAACGAUCGCACGGUCACGGUUUCGGCAUACCCGACACUCGUUCGACACGCGAGAUUCACAUUCGACGAGAGAAAGACGCGAAAACUGCGGAGCAAUCUGCCUCGACUCCGAACGACGUACGCGCGACGCGAUGCGACUGAAGGUGGUCACGUAACUGUUCCGCUGAUCACACACCGUAUUACCAACCGUACCGAAAAUUGAGGUUGUAAACGUAACCGCGAUUAAUCCGUACUAAAAUCAACACUGCCAAUGUAAUACAAUCUUGACUGACGCUACGCAAAUUCCGUACACACAUGUAUGCAUUCAUGAGAGAAACAUCGCGCAUUGCCCGGUAUUAUAAUGCGCCCGAUUUUGGAAACUCGACACUUGAUAUUCGUUCGACACGCGAAAUUCACGUUCGACGAGUAAACGGGAGAAACCAUCUCGCCACUCGACUCCAGACGGCAUUGCGCGACGCGGUGAAGAUGGUCGCAUAACUAUCUCGCUGAUCGCCCCCGUAUUACACACACGAUUGUACCGAAAAUUGAGGACAGGUUAGGUUAUGAGGACAACCGCGAUUAAUCCGUGCCAAAAUCAAAGCUGCCAGUGUAAUACGAUAUCGGUUGACGCUGCGCGAAAUGCGUACACAUGCGGUAUACGUGUACGUAUAUCUGAUUCACGAGAAAAAAACGUAAGCAUCGCGACGGUAACAACGCACUCAGUAUCACUUUCCAUCGCAUCGAGUCGUAAAACGUUCGAUCGAGAUCCUUUCCCUAACGCUUACUUCCCAACCCUGCUAACACCGUCGACAGGUAAAACUCACACUUACAUUAUUUCUUAUCAGAAAGAGAGAGGUGAGACUCCUACCGUAUACGUACGUACACGCAAAAGAAAGCGAUAACCUAAACCUAAACAUAAACACAGCGCGCGACGGCUAGCGCAAUUACGCCCUCACUUUCGCGGUGGCCUUCAGCCGUAUGGCCGUGCCGUGUCGCGUCGCGUCGGUAACGCUUGUGCGCAAUUGAUCGAGAUCGCGUACUCAUUUUCCACAUCUUUUACUCGCCAACGGUGAAUUCCGCGUCGAGACGAGCCUCGAAAUGAGCGUGCAAGCCAGCAGCGUACGUCGGGGCGUGCUGUGUGCUCGUCUAAUCAUAACCUCGUUUUUUGGAUAGCUAGUGCAACUUCGCGGUGUGGCGUCGCGAAUCGUUCGUCGAGGCAACGGUACGGCCUGAUCAUGGAGCUUAUUAUCGAACAAUAAGACUGCCACGAAGAUCGCGAGUGCGUCGAUGAUAAAUACGUCGUUGAAAACUUACGGCGGAGCGUGUUUACGUGCGUAACCUAAACACUCGCGCGGGGAACGAGCGACGGCUAGGGCAAUUACGCCCUCACUUCCGCGGUAGCCUUCAGCCGUGCCUGUGUGUCGCGUCGGUAACGCUCGUGCAGAACUGAGAUCGCGAGAUCGCACACUGACUUUCCGCAUCUCUCUCGUCAACGGUGAACCCGCAUCGAAACGAGCAUCGAGAAGGAACGUGAGAACCAGCAGCAUACGUCGGAGCGUGCUGUGUGCUCGUCUAAUCAUAACCUUGUUUCUUGUGUAGUUAGAGCAAUUCGCGAAUCGUUCGUACAUCGAGUCAACGAUAUGGUCCGGCAAUCGUCGAGCUUAUUGUCGAACGUUUCGUUACAUUGAGAAAGUCCGUUAUGCCGAAUAUGUAAUCGAGCGUUUUUUUGUAUCUCGCGUUGCUCUCAGGAAUCGGGCGGGCCGGAUGGAUUUCUAUGAAGCGAUCGCCGGGUCAAUUAGUGUCCGUAAUUGGGCGUCGUGUUGUGUACCAUCGGAUUGUGUUUGCGUAAAUGAGUGAGUGAAGUGUAUUCGUGGCGGAAAAUAGCAGCAAGACGAGAAGAGACGACGGCAUUGGGACGGCGCACAUGUGAUUCCUGUCAAGUGUUCCUAUUCUACUGGAUUGCAGCACGACGUGAUG